rnacentral:lncRNA from 10 species
CGUGCAGGUGCAUAGUGGACCUAGAACUCCCAGAGGCCCUGUGUCCUCCAUUCCCCCACACCUGGCUGGCAGGAAGCUCCGGCAGACCACGUGCAUGUGCCUGCACCUGCUUUAUGGGAGAAUUGAGCCCUGGUGACAUUUGUUUCCCCCGGGUCACCCUGGCGGAGUAGCCCUUGGGCACCCCUCACCUCGAGUUGGAGGUCUCGGCUCCUCAUGACCGCCAUGUUCUUCUCCUCACUGAGCUGUGCGUAGCGCAUGGCUAAGUUGUAGUUGUCGUCCUUCACCUUGACCAGCUCGUCAUUGUAGCUGUCCCGCUCUUCCUUCAUCUUGUAGUACCGCUCCUGGAAGGACGGACAGAAGAAAUAAAUUUGAUGGUAUGUCAACCCCGAUUGUUUGGUGAAGCCGCCUGCAGUACUGUUUCGAGAAACAUUCCAAAGUUACAUCCAAGCUCAGUGGGAAAGCAUGCUGAUUACUGAUGUCUGCCAUGGAUGCCAGAGAGUCGCAGCUGAUGAGCCACUUACCACCAGCCACGCUGGGGGACAGUGAUUAUCAAACCUUCUAAACUGAUCCAUAGAAAGAAAAACAUUUAACAUUGUGGUCUAGUGACCAUAG